UGUCAUCACUGGCAACACACACUGGUCA
rnacentral:sRNA from 1 species